rnacentral:piRNA from 1 species
UCAAGCCUGAACUUUUUUCUCCUCCCA